GUCAAGAACUGUCAGAUAAGAGAAGAAACCUUUUUGCCUUUCAAGACCUGAACCCAGACAGCUGUCAGUAACGGGUCUGCUACGAUCAUUUAAUCACUGGUUCACCAGCUGACCUCUAUCAAGACACCCAUGUCAACUGGAUUACCACUGUGAAGAUGAGCAAUGCUGCAGCAGCAUCAGUUUCUACUUUGCCAUUUUCCAGAUAUGAAAGGAGACAUCCCUCAAUUAUACAACAUGGUUGUUAUAUGCUGUGCUUUGAUCAAUCUAAACGAUUUGAGUAGAGCACCUUCACCUUGUCGUCAUGGAAAAAGUGCCCCCUUACACUAUAUAAAAUGUAACUUGGAAGGUGUAAAAGACUAUUUAUUGUUUAUGAUAUUGUAAAUGUAUUGUACUUUAAUAACAGGCUAUAUUGUUGUAUGGGUGAAAUAAAGUAUUGUCAUCUCUGCUUUGCCUAGCCCCAUUGAAUAAAACGUAUUCUUAUAGCCCAA